rnacentral:rRNA from 1 species
GAUUUGCCAAUGGCGCAGCCUGAUGCAGCCUGCCGCGUGUGUGAAGAAGGCCUUAGGGUUGUAAAGCACUUUCAGUAAGGAGGAAAGGUUAGUAGUUAAUACCUGCUAGCUGUGACGUUACUUACAGAAGAAGCACCGGCUAACUCCGUGCCAGCAGCCGCGGUAAUACGGAGGGUGCGAGCGUUAAUCGGAAUUACUGGGCCGUAAAGCGUACGCAGGCGGUUUGUUAAGCGAGAUGUGAAAGCCCCGGGCUCAACCUGGGAACUGCAUUUCGAACUGGCAAACUAGAGUAUGAUAGAGGGUGGUAGAAUUUCAGGUGUAGCGGUGAAAUGCGUAGAGAUCUGAAGGAAUCCGAUGGCGAAGGCAGCCACCUGGGUCAAUACUGACGCUCAUGUACGAAAGCGUGGGGAGCAAACGGGAUUAGAUCCCCGGUAGUCCACGCCGUAAACGAUGUCUACUAGGAGCUGGGGUCUUAGAACAACUUUUCCAAAGCUAACGCAUUAAGUAGACCGCCUGGGGAGUACGGCCGCAAGGUUAAAACUCAAAUGAAUUGUGCGGGGGCCCGCACAAGCGGUGGAGCAUGUGGUUUAAUUCGAUGCAACGCGAAGAACCUUACCUACACUUAAUACAGAGCUUUCAAAAGGUUGGUCCUCGAAAAUACUUCUAG